rnacentral:rRNA from 1 species
AUUGAACGCUGGCGGCAUGCUUUACACAUGCAAGUCGAACGGUAACAGGCCUUCGGGUGCUGACGAGUGGCGAACGGGUGAGUAAUGCAUCGGAACGUACCCAGAGGUGGGGGAUAACGCAGCGAAAGCUGUGCUAAUACCGCAUGUGAUCUGAGGAUGAAAGCGGGGGACCGAGCAGCAAUGUUUGGCCUCGCGCCUUUGGAGCGGCCGAUGUCGGAUUAGCUAGUUGGUGGGGUAAAGGCCUACCAAGGCGACGAUCCGUAGCUGGUCUGAGAGGACGACGAGCCACACUGGGACUGAGACACGGCCCAGACUCCUACGGGAGGCAGCAGGGGGGAAUUUUGGACAAUGGGCGCAAGCCUGAUCCAGCAAUGCCGCGUGCGGGAAGAAGGCCUUCGGGUUGUAAACCGCUUUUGGCAGGAACGAAACGGUGUCCGCUAAUACCGGGCGCUAAUGACGGUACCUGCAGAAUAAGCACCGGCUAACUACGUG